rnacentral:rRNA from 1 species
GCAAGUCGAGCGCGAAAUCACUUCGGUGAGAGUAGAGCGGCGGACGGGUGAGUAAUGCUUGGGAAUCUGCCCGGUAGUGGGGGAUAACGUGUGGAAACGCACGCUAAUACCGCAUACGUCCUACGGGAGAAAGCAGGGGAUCUUCGGACCUUGCGCUAUCGGAUGAGCCCAAGUCGGAUUAGCUAGUUGGUGGGGUAAAGGCCUACCAAGACAUCGAUCAGUAGCUGGUCUGAGAGGAUGAUC